GACGAACCACACAAACGUUAUUCGGAAUUACUGGGCUUAAAGGGUGCGUAGGCGGCCUGACAAGUUGGGUGUGAAAUACCUCGGCUCAACCGGGGAAUGGCGCUCAAAACUGUCAGGCUAGAGGAAGAUAGAGGUGAGCGGAACUUAAGGUGGAGCGGUGAAAUGCGUUGAUAUCUUAAGGAACACCCGUGGCGAAAGCGGCUCACUGGAUCUUUUCUGACGCUGAGGCACGAAAGCUAGGGGAGCGAACGGG
rnacentral:rRNA from 1 species